GAUGAACGCUAGCGAUAGGCUUAACACAUGCAAGUCGAGGGGCAGCACAAGGUAGCUUGCUAUCUGGGUGGCGACCGGCGCACGGGUGCGUAACGCGUAUGCAACUUGCCCUAUACAGGAGGAUAACCCGUCGAAAGACGGACUAAUACUGCGUAUGCUCACAACUUGGCAUCAAGUGGUGAGGAAAGAAAUUCGGUAUAGGAUAGGCAUGCGUCCCAUUAGCUUGUUGGUGAGGUAACGGCCCACCAAGGCAACGAUGGGUAGGGGAACUGAGAGGUUUAUCCCCCACACUGGUACUGAGACACGGACCAGACUCCUACGGGAGGCAGCAGUGAGGAAUAUUGGUCAAUGGGCGCGAGCCUGAACCAGCCAAGUCGCGUGAAGGAUGACUGUCUUAUGGAUUGUAAACUUCUUUUAUACGGGAAUAACAAGAGUCACGUGUGACUCCCUGCAUGUACCGUAUGAAUAAGCAUCGGCUAACUCCGUG
rnacentral:rRNA from 1 species